GCCUGGGUGGCUCAGUCGGUUGAGCGUCCGACUUCGGCUCAGGUCACGAUCUCGUAGCUCGUGAGUUCGAGCCCCGCGUCAGGCU
rnacentral:tRNA from 1 species